CCUGCCUACGGGGCGCAGCAGUGGGGAAUAUUGCACAAUGGAGGAAACUCUGAUGCAGCGAUGCCGCGUGAGGGAAUAAGGCCCUACGGGUCGUAAACCUCUUUUGCCGGGGAGCAAGGGCGGGGACGUGUCCCGGCCCGGAGAGUACCCGGAGAAAAAGCAUCGGCUAACUCCGUGCCAGCAGCCGCGGUAAUACGGAGGAUGCGAGCGUUAUCCGGAUUUAUUGGGUUUAAAG
rnacentral:rRNA from 1 species